GAUGAAGAACGCAGCGAAAUGCGAUAAGUAAUGUGAAUUGCAGAAUUCAGUGAAUCAUCGAAUCUUUGAACGCACAUUGCGCCCCUUGGUAUUCCGGGGGGCAUGCCUGUUCGAGCGUCAUUAUAACCCCUCAAGCUCAGCUUGGUGUUGGGGCCUGCCAACUGGCAGCCCUUAAAAUCAGUGGCGGCGCCAUCUGGCUCUAAGCGUAGUAAUUUCUCUCGCUAUAGGGUCCCGGUGGAUGCUUGCCAACAACCCCCAAUUUUCUAUGGUUGACCUCGGAUCAGGUAGGGAUACCCGCUGAACUUAAGCAUAUCAAUAAGCGGAGG
rnacentral:misc_RNA from 1 species